GCGGUCGUGGCGGAACUGGUAGACGCACUACCUUGAGGUGGUAGCGGGGCAACCCGUGGAGGUUCGAGUCCUCUCGACCGCACCA
rnacentral:tRNA from 1 species